rnacentral:lncRNA from 1 species
GUUACUUUUUUCUGUAUAACAGGAUUAUUAGUUACUCGUUGGGUUUCUUCAGGACAUUUCCCACUAAGCGAUUUAUAUGAAUCAUUAAUUUUCCUUUCAUGGAGUUUCUCCCUUAUUCAUAUAAUUCCAUAUUUCAAAAAAAAUGUUUUAAUUUUAAGUAAAAUAACUGGACCAAGUGCUAUUUUGACCCAAGGCUUUGCUACUUCAGGUAUUUUAACUGAAAUACACCAAUCUGGAAUCUUAGUACCUGCUCUUCAAUCUGAGUGGUUAAUAAUGCACGUAAGUAUGAUGAUAUUGGGCUAUGCAGCCCUUUUAUGUGGAUCGUUAUUAUCAGUAGCACUUCUAGUGAUUACAUUUCGAAAAAACAGAAAGCUUUUUUCUAAGAGCAAUGUUUUUUUAAACGAGUCAUUUUUCUUGGGUGAAAAUGUUGUCGAAAAUACUUCGUUUUUUUGUGCUAAAAAUUAUUACAGGUCCCAAUUGAUUCAACAAUUGGAUUAUUGGAGUUAUCGGGUUAUUAGUUUAGGAUUUACUUUUUUAACCAUAGGAAUCCUUUCGGGAGCGGUAUGGGCUAAUGAAGCGUGGGGUUCCUAUUGGAAUUGGGAUCCAAAAGAAACUUGGGCAUUUAUUACUUGGAUCGUAUUUGCCAUUUAUUUACAUACUCGAACAAAUAGAAAUUUGCGGGGUCCAAAUUCUGCAAUUGUAGCGUCGAUAGGUUUUCUUAUAAUUUGGAUAUGCUAUUUUGGGGUCAAUCUAUUAGGAAUAGGGUUACAUAGUUAUGGUUCUUUUCCAUCAACAUUUAAUUGAAUUCAAGACAAGUUAUUACAAAUACAAGAGCGGGCGACGCAUUGUAUGAACCAGCAUGCGGACCGUGUGAAUCAAAUAUUGUAUUGAUGAUUCACACGGUUUUCUACCAUAUGUAGUUCAAUUUCAUUGUUUUUACUUAAUUCUUAAGUUAAAAGAGAAGAAAAAAAGAAGACUUUUUUUCAUUGUCCAAGAAUGUUUUUAAAAACAAACAUAGGUUUUUUUAUUUCAGUCAUCCAAUUAUCUAUAAAAAAAAUUAGAUAGAAUAACUUCGACCUUGUCAACUGCUAAUGAAAGAACGAAAUCGGGGUAUAUACCAAUACCUAUUACGGGUAAAAAGAUGGAGAUCGAAAGAAAUAACUCUCGCGGUCCAGAAUCAAAAAAGAAUCCUUCGGGGCGUUAAAUAACUUGUAUCCAUAGAACAUCUGGCGUGGCAUAGAUAAUGAAUAAAUAGGAGUUAAUAUAAUUCCAAUUGCCAUUACAAAAGUAAUUAGUAGUUUUGGCAUUAAAAGAUAUUUUUGGCCGGUAAUUAUUCCAAAAAAUACUAUCAAUUCGGCAACAAAACCACUCAUACCUGGUAAUGCAAGGGAAGCCAUCGAAAAGCUACUGAACAUCGUGAACAUUUUUGGCAUUGGAAUAGCUAUUCCGCCCAUUUCGUCAAGAUAAACAAGGCGGAUUCUAUCAUAAGUCGUUCCCGCCAAGAAAAAAAGUGCAGCACCAAUAAAUCCAUGAGAGAUUAUUUGUAAAAGGGCUCCAUUUAGUCCCGUAUCGGUUAGAGAACUAAUUCCUAUAAUUAUGAAACCCAUAUGAGAGACAGAGGAAUAGGCUAUUCUUUUUUUUAAAUUCCGUUGGCCAAGAGAUGUUGAAGCUGCAUAGAUUAUUUGUAUUGUACCUAUUAUCAUCAACCAAGGAGAAAAUAUAGAAUGGGCAUGAGGUAAUAAUUCCAUAUUGAUUCGAAUUAAUCCAUACGCUCCCAUUUUUAAUAAGAUUCCGGCUAGAAGCAUACAAGUACUGUAAUGUGCUUCUCCAUGGGUAUCUGGUAACCAUGUGUGUAGGGGGAUAAUGGGCGAUUUGACAGCAAAAGCAAUAAAAAAUCCAAUAUAGAAGAUUAUUUCUAAAACCACAGGAUAUGACUGAUUAACUGAUGUUUCAAAAUUUAAUGUUGGUUCAUUAGAACCAUAUAAAGCAACACCCAAAACUCCCAUUAAGAGAAAAACGGAACCCCCCGCCGUGUACAAAAUAAAUUUUGUAGCUGAGUACAGACGUUUCUUUCCUCCCCACAUGGCUAGAAGUAGAUAAACAGGAAUUAAUUCUAACUCCCACAUGAUGAAAAAAAGUAAAAGGUCCCGAGACGAAAAUAAUCCAAUUUGACCACUGUACAUUGCUAACAUGAGAAAAUGGAAUAAUCUAGAAUCUCGAGUAACUGGCCAAGCCGCUAAAGUCGCUAAAGUAGUGAUAAAUCCUGUUAAUAAAAUGGGUCCUAUAGAAAGUCCAUCUAUUCCUAAUCUCCAAUGGAAAUCAAAAAAAUCGAUCCAUUUAUAAUCCUCUACUAGUUGGAUUAAUGGAUCAUCCGAUUGGAAAUGAUAACAAAAUGCAUAAGUUGUUAGAAGGAGUUCUAAAAUACAUAUACAUAUUGUAUACCACCUAAUUACCCUAUUUCCUUUAUGGGGAAGAAAGAAAAUUAAAGAACCCGCAAAUAUCGGAAAAACGACAAUUAUUGUUAACCAAGGAAAAUAAUUCGUAGUAAAGACAAGAUACACUUGGACCAAAAAAACCCGUGCUCAAAAUAUUUUUAUUUUCGAGCACAGGUUUGUCGGUAAAAAAAUUAAAUGGAUUCAAGUAGAGUUUUCUCGAACGUAUCAAUAAGCUAGACCCAUACUGCGAGUUGUUUCAUGCCAUAAAUAAACUCGGACACUCAAGAAAUCUGUUGGACAGGCGGAUUCACAUCUCUUACAACCAACACAGUCCUCUGUUCGUGGAGCAGAAGCAAUUUGUUUAGCCUUACAACCGUCCCAAGGUAUCAUUUCUAAUACAUCAGUGGGGCAGGCUCGGACACAUUGAGUACAUCCUAUACACGUAUCAUAAAUCUUUACUGAAUGUGACAUUGGGCCUAUACGUUUUUGAAUGUUCUAAAUUUUCGAUCUAGUAAACUUAGAAACGAAUCGUAUAUUUAGAUACCAGAUGAAUCAAUGAGUUAUCAUAAUUUUCUAAUCAACCCCUUUCUGGAUUGGUUUAUGAGAUAUGAGAGAGGCCAAAAUACUUUGAUUUCUUAUGUUUUGCAAACAAGAUCAUACUUUACGUAGUAAACAUGCUAAUUAAAAUAGAUUUCUCAAUAUUAGAAUCUAGAUGAUUAAUAUUAAUUAUUCAACAAAUUUGAUUGGUUGAUACGAGUUGAUUUUCUGUUACGGUAAAUUGAUGAAACAAUAGCCAGGCCAAUGGCUGCUUCAGCGGCUGCAAUAGCUAUAACAAAAAUUGAGAAAAUGUCUCCCUUUAAUUGACGAUUAUCAAAAAAAUCAGAAAAUGUUACAAAAUUGAUAUUAACUGCAUUCAAUAUAAGUUCAAGACACAUAAGGGCUCUAACCAUAUUUCGACUUGUGAUCAAUCCAUAGAUACCGAUGGAAAAUAAAUAGGCACUCAAAACAAGUACAUGUUCGAGAAUCAUUAAACAACUCCUUAUCAAUCCCGACUCCUUUCAAUAUGAACAACAAUUCAACUAACUUAAUUGACUAGUAUAUAACAAGUAUGGAACAAAGAAAUAUAUUGUUACUAGAUUGACCUAAAGUCUUUCUAUUUAUCCAGCUAGAAUUCAAAUAGAAUUGAAGGAAAAUUAAUGUGAUAAGACAGAACAAAAUUUUAUUUGAAUUCCAAGUUUUAAUAGAAAUUUUUUAUUGACGAGCUACAGCAAUUGCACCUAUUAAAGCAACUAAAAGGAUUAUGGAAAUAAGUUCAAAUGGGAGAAAAAAAUCUGUUGAUAAAUGAAUUCCAAUUUGUUGACUAUUACUUAGAAAAUCUUGCUCUAUAAUCUGGUUUGAUCUUGUAGUCCAAAUAAUCCCGUACCAUGACGUAUCUGAAAUAGUAGUAAUUAGUGAAAUAAAAAGACUUAUACAAACCAUCGAAGUAAUUCCAUCUCCUACGGUCCAAAGAUGAAAAUCCUUGUAAUAUUCUGAGCCAUUCAUGAACAUCACAGCAAAAAUGAUUAAAACAUUUAUAGCUCCUACGUAAAUAAGUAGCUGCGCAGCAGCUACAAAAUAGGCGUUAGAUAGAAUAUAGAAUAACGAUGUACAAACAAGAACCAAUCCCAAGGAAAAGGCCGAAUAAAUUGGAUUGGGAAGUAAUACCACUCCUAGACCCCCUAAUAUAAGACCCGAUCCUAGAAAGACUAAAAGAAAAUCAUGUAUUGGUUCAGAUAAAUCCAUUUUUUAUAAAAAAUCAAAAACGAAGAAUUUCAUGACUUUAUUGACCUGACCAGGAAAAAAGCAGUUUUUCUAUUUUUUAUGAUACUUUGAAAUUGUUAAUUGAAUGAAAGUCUAAUGGGUAUGAAUUGACGUAGAUGCUUUUAUUUUAUUGGACCACUAUCCAUUCUUUAUUCGUCGAAAGAGGAGUUUAAACCUAUCUAUUUUUGAUAUCAUUUAUCUACUUUGAAACCAUUACUAUUAUAAUAUAUAAUAUUGAACUCGGUUUUGUUUUCAAUCUAAAUUAAGCUUAAGCUAGGAGUCUCAUUAAGAAACCACUAGUUUGAAUUGCCCAAGCAAAAAUCUCAUUGUUUUAGAUCCGAACUAAGCCUUCGUAAUUUGUAAUUUUUUUGAAUCAAAUUAAGGGUUUAUUCAUUGUUUAUUUGAGGUAAAUUCGAAAUUGUUCGAAUUGUGUAAUCAUCAAUUACUGACAUUGGUAAGCGACCCAAAGCGAUUUGAUUAUAAUUCAAUUCGUGACGAUCAUAAGUAGAAAGUUCAUAUUCUUCGGUCAUUGAUAAACAAUUUGUUGGGCAAUACUCAACGCAAUUACCACAAAAUAUACAGAUUCCAAAAUCAAUACUGUAAUUAAGCAAUCGUUUCUUUCGAAUAUCAGUUUCCAACUUCCAAUCAACAACGGGUAAAUCUAUAGGACAUACACGCACACAUACUUCACAAGCAAUGCAUUUAUCAAAUUCAAAGUGUAUUCGGCCUCGGAAACGUUCCGAUGUGAUCAAUUUUUCGUAGGGGUAUUGAAUAGUUACAGGUAAACGAUUUGCGUGGGACAGGGUAAUCAUGAAACCUUGGCCGAUAUAUCUGGCGGCUCGUAUUGUUUGUUGACCAUAAUUUAUGAAUUCAGUUAUCAUAGGGAGCAUAUGUUGAAUAUCUAUAAAAAAGAUUUUAUGCUUGUUUCUUUCUCUUGUUUGAGACAAGUCGUGAAUCUAGGAUAUUGUGGUCUUUUACAGUGAAAGAAGUUGGGACGAGGUUGUCAAUAAUAGAUUACCUAGAGAAAUCGGUAAAAGAAAUUUCCACCCAAGAUUUAAUAGUUGGUCCAUUCUCAGCCUCGGUAAAGUCCAUCUUGUUGCAAUGGGAAUGAACAAAAACAAAUAAGUUUUGGCUAAUGUGAUAAAGAUACCAAUUAGUGUUCCAAAGACUUUACCUCCUUUAUUUAUGCCAAAUAUAUCAGGAACAAAUAUGUACGGAAUAGAAAGAUUCCAACCUCCCAAGUAAAGAACUGUUACAAAUAAUGAAGAAACUAGUAGAUUCAGAUAUGAAGCAAUGUAAAAUAAACCAAAUUUGAUACCAGAAUAUUCGGUUUGAUACCCUGCUACUAAUUCUUCUUCUGCUUCUGGUAAAUCAAAAGGUAAUCUUUCACACUCGGCGAGAGAAGAAAUUAGAAAAACGAUAAACCCGAUGGGUUGACGCCACAAAUUCCACCCCCAAAAACCAUAUUUUGACUGCGCUUCCACUAUAUCAACUGUACUUAAACUGUUAGAUAAUCAUAGUCGAUGAUAACAUCACUGUGCCCAUCGCUAUUACAGAACCGUACGUGAGAUUUUCACCUCAUACGGCUCCUCAGAGGUCACAACUAAAUCUAAGGGCCCUUUCCUAUUCUUUAUCUUGAUAUGUUUGUCAGAUAGAGUCAAAAUCUAUUCUAAGGUCCCAAAUUAGACCAAUGGAAUUCUGUCUGCUAUAUUUAAAACUAAUAAAUAAGUGCUUCUGAAUUUAUCUCAUCUUUUAAGAAUUUUAAUUUUUCUUUGUUGAUUAAUAACCUUAUCAUUAAAUAAAAAAAUGUGCUUUAUAGCAAUAUCACAUAUACAUUUCAACCUCGAAUUUUCAAUUACGAAAAAAAUUAGAGAGUACAUUAGUUCAUGAAUCAUGACAAAAAUUUUAUCUCUCUAAAUAGAAAUAAAAAUUGAAUUAUAGGAAAGAAAGAAUAAAAACAAAAAAAGACAUCCCUCCUUUUUCCUUUUGCAAUUAGCUUCUUUUCUUUCUAUUUCGAUUUUUUUAUUUCAUUCCUAUUCUCCUUUCUCAGAAAAAGGGUCUUUAACCAAAGUAAAAGAUUACUUCGUUCUUGAUAGUUAGUUACUUACUCAGUGGAUAGGAACAUACUCUGGAUCAGAAUCAUGGGGAGUACUUCUUGAUCAUUUCUACGAACGUAAAGCCCCAAUUUGAAUUCCUUUUAUGUACAGAAAUAUCCUCUUGGAUAACUUACAUAAUCUCAAUUACUAAUCCUUUGUGUAUCUUAGUCUUCCUAACCAUCCACUCAUUUUUUGUUUCAAAAACCUCCCGUUGUGGAAAUCCAUCUAUGGUAAUAGACAGUAAAAACUCCAUAGAGUUGGUCUUUUGAACCCGCUUCAAGCUAUCAUGACAAUUCACGAAUCUUGGGGUAAACAAUCUCUCUUGCUUAUGUUUACUUUUUUCACCAUUUGAUUCUUGUACAUAGGAAAUGAGACUCAACUUUUUUACUGCAAAUUUAGAAGCCGUUUUCUUUCACUCAUAUAACUAUCUGAUUUAGUUCAUCAACUCAAAUGCUGAAGAAAAAAAAUAUAUAUAAUCAAUCAAAUCUUUUUAUCCUUGUUUCUAGAAAGAAAAGAAUUUGGAUAAAUUUUAGGUCUCACCGAAUCACACGUAGAGAUAUUGAUAACACACAUAGAGCUAAUGGUAUUUCAUAACUAAUUGAUUGAGCAGCUGCCCGUAGACCACCUAAAAAGGAAUAUUUAUUAUUUGAUCCAUACCCCGACAUAAGAAGUCCAACGGGAGCAAUACUUGAAAUGGCAAUCCAAAAAAAAACACCAAUACUAAGAUCGGCUAGAACAAGGUGAUCACCAAAAGGAAUUACUGAAUAACUUAGAAAGAUAGAUAUUACUGCUAUGGAUGGUCCGAUACUGAAUAAACGAGUAUCUCCUGUAGAUGGAAUAAGGUUCUCUUUCAAAAGUAGUUUUGUCCCAUCUGCUAGAGCUUGAAGAAUUCCUAACGGGCCGGCAUAUUCAGGCCCAAUACGUUGUUG